rnacentral:hammerhead_ribozyme from 1 species
GCUGACGAGUCGCAAAUAGGACGAAAUGCGCAUCC